AACGUGGUGUGACUCUGGACUGUAUUGUCACAGACAGACAUCUGCAAAUUCAGAAAUUCCUAAGGGAAAGCAGCAUCACCCAAUUCUUUGAUGUGUGGCACAUAGAAAAAGGGAUUUCUAAGCAACUGGAGAAGGCUGCAAAAAAGAAGGACUGCGAAAAACUUCGAGGGUGGGUGAAGAGUAUAAGAAACCACAUAUACUGGACUGCAGCAACCUCCACCACCGGGCCUGAGAGAGUGGCCAAAUGGACUUCCAUCCUGAACCACGUGCAGGAUAUCCACUCUCAUGGUGACCCCCUGUUCCCCAAGUGCCUUCAUCCACUGCGCAUUGCGCAAUACCAAUGGAUGGCUGCAGGUAUGUUGUUCAUAAACCAUAUUACAUUACUCCUCUAUAAAUAUUUGAACGCCGGCCUUUCACAAGCUGGAGACAAUUCUCUCAACCAAGAGGAUUUUGAAAGCUGUGGCCAAACUCAGCCCACACCACCAGACUUAAUCUUUGGAGUCAUUCCAUGCCGUCAUCCUGCGCUUUGCUCCAAAGAAUGUUGUGUUUCCAUUUCUUGGAAUGUUGUGCAGACUGUACCUGGCAGCCCUGCACUACAAUGAAAACGCUGAGCGUGCACAAGCCACU